UAAGACGAACCGUGCGAACGUUAUUCGGAAUCACUGGGCUUAAAGGGCGCGUAGGCGGCUUCCCAAGCCCGGGGUGAAAUCUUUCGGCUUAACCGGAAAAGGGCCUCGGGGACUGGGGGGCUAGAGGGAGGUAGGGGCAAGCGGAACUUCCGGUGGAGCGGUGAAAUGCGUUGAUAUCGGAAGGAACGCCGGCGGCGAAAGCGGCUUGCUGGACCUCAUCUGACGCUGAUGCGCGAAAGCUAGGGGAGCGAACGGGAUUAGAUACCCCGGUAGUCCUAGCCCUAAACGAUGGGUACUAGGUUGUGGGCCUGACAUGGGCUCCCAGCCGGAGCAAAAGUGCUAAGUACCCCGCCUGGGGAGUAUGGCCGCAAGGCUG
rnacentral:rRNA from 1 species